AUCCUGUACCUAGAUCGGCGACCUUGGCCACUGUAGGCACCGUUCCAUCUCCGCCCCAACGAAUCUAGGUCGUCUCGCCGGCGGCGGUCGCCGGUCGGGCUGCCCGGGGGGACAUCUUCUGUGCUGCGCUGCGACAUUGGGCGAGCAAAUCUCCAGGUAGCCCGCCUACCCCCAUGCCUAGCUCGGACAUCUGCUGAUGGCAAAGAACAGACCUCGGGUCUUCAGGAAUGCAGGACCUCUGGAGACCCCUGCCACAUGUGAUCGAAUGUAGAUGAAAAGAGCGUAAAAACUAAUAGAAUGGAGUACCAUUUCUGGGAAUAAAUGAUCAUUCAAUGGGUAAGUAUCUUCUAGUUGG